rnacentral:rRNA from 1 species
UACGAAGGGGGCUAGCGUUUCUCGGAAUCACUGGGCGUAAAGCGCACGUAGGCGGCUUUCUAAGUCAGGGGUGAAAUCCUGGAGCUCAACUCCAGAACUGCCUUUGAUACUGGAGAGCUUGAGUCCGGAAGAGGUGAGUGGAACUGCGAGUGUAGAGGUGAAAUUCGUAGAUAUUCGCAAGAACACCAGUGGCGAAGGCGGCUCACUGGUCCGGUACUGACGCUGAGGUGCGAAAGCGUGGGGAGCAAACAGG